rnacentral:rRNA from 1 species
UACGUAGGGGGCAAGCGUUGUCCGGAAUUAUUGGGCGUAAAGAGCGCGUAGGCGGUCCGAUAAGUCGGCUGUGAAAGUCCAGGGCUCAACCCUGGAAAGCCGGCCGAUACUGUCGGACUAGAGUCCGGAAGAGGCGAGUGGAAUUCCCGGUGUAGCGGUGAAAUGCGCAGAUAUCAGGAGGAACACCAAUAGCGAAGGCAGCUCGCUGGGACGUUACUGACACUGAGGCGCGAAAGCGUGGGGAGCGAACAGG